AAGUCGUAACAAGGUUUCCGUAGGUGAACCUGCGGAAGGAUCAUUAUCACGUAUCCACGUAUAAACCAAUCGCGAACUGUCUUUAUCCUUUGGGAGAUGAACUUUUGAGCUUAAUGAUAGAACUACGAUUCAUUGUGUGAUUUUGAAUCUCUGUCAUUGGUAGCUUUGACGAAUGACCUCAAAUCAUUCCGAAAGGCUAUUGGUUCUGAAUGAAAGCCAAGAUUGUCUAACGACGAUCGGAAGCCUCAUUCAAAGCCUGGCUUGCCAUCUUCUGAAGUGUAUCAAACCACACUUUAAAACUAUUAACCACUUGAACCUUUAUUUUAUCUUUGUUUGAACUGAUCUGUUUCUUACUCUACCAGCAAUGGCGGAGAAGAAAUCUAUUACGAAACAAAAGAACAACUCUUAGCAACGGAUAUCUUGGUUCUC
rnacentral:misc_RNA from 1 species